CUACGGGGGGCACCAGUGGGGAAUAUUGCACAAUGGGGGGAACCCUGAUGCAGCAACGCCGCGUGGAGGAAGACGCAUUUCGGUGUGUAAACUCCUUUUAUAUAGGAAGAUAAUGACGGUACUAUAUGAAUAAGCACCGGCUAACUCCGUGCCAGCAGCCGCGGUAAUACGGAGGGUGCAAGCGUUACUCGGAAUCACUGGGCGUAAAGCGCACGCAGGCGGCUAAAUAAGUUGGAAGUGAAAUCCACUGGCUCAACCAGUGAACUGCUUCCAAAACUGUGUGGCUAGAGUCUGGGAGGGGAAGAUGGAAUUAGUGGUGUAGGGGUAAAAUCCGUAGAGAUCACUAGGAAUACCAAAAGCGAAGGCGAUCUUCUGGAACAGUACUGACGCUGAGGUGCGAAAGCGUGGGGAGCAAACGGGAUUAGAUACCCUUGUAGUC
rnacentral:rRNA from 1 species